UACGAACUGUGCAAACGUUAUUCGGAAUCACUGGGCUUAAAGGGUGCGUAGGCGGUCAUUUAAGUAGGGUGUGAAAGCCCUCGGCUUAACCGGGGAAUGGCGUCCUAAACUGGAUGACUCGAGUGAGAUAGAGGUGUGUGGAACUUCCGGUGGAGCGGUGAAAUGUGUUGAUAUCGGAAGGAACGCCGGUGGCGAAAGCGACACACUGGGUCUCAACUGACGCUGAGGCACGAAAGCCAGGGGAGCGAACGGG
rnacentral:rRNA from 1 species